UACGUAGGGGGCAAGCGUUGUCCGGAUUUAUUGGGCGUAAAGAGCGUGUAGGCGGCCCCUUAAGUCCUGCGUGAAAUCCUGCGGCUCAACCGCAGACGGUCGUGGGAAACUGGAGGGCUAGAGUGCGGGAGAGGAGAGUGGAAUUCCCGGUGUAGCGGUGAAAUGCGCAGAUAUCAGGAGGAACACCAAUGGCGAAGGCAGCUCGCUGGGACGUGACUGACGCUGAGACGCGAAAGCGUGGGGAGCAAACAGG
rnacentral:rRNA from 1 species